GACGGGGCCCGCACAAGCGGUGGAGCAUGUGGUUUAAUUCGACGCAACGCGAAAAACCUUACCUGGGUUUGACAUGUGGAGAUCCCGUUGAAAGACGGGAGUGCCCCGUAAGGGGAACUCCAACACAGGUGCUGCAUGGCUGUCGUCAGCUCGUGCCGUGAGGUGUUAGGUUAAGUCCUGCAACGAGCGCAACCCUCACCCUUAGUUGCCAUCCUUAAGUUGGGCACCCUAAGGGAACUGCCGCAGUUAAUGCGGAGGAAGGUGGGGAUGACGUCAAGUCCUCAUGGCCCUUAUGUCCAGGGCUACACACGUGCUACAAUGGACGGAACAAAUGGUUGCUAACCCGCGAGGGGGAGCUAAUCCAAGAAAUCCGCUCUCAGUUCGGAUUGGAGUCUGCAACUCGACUCCAUGAAGCUGGAAUCGCUAGUAAUCGCGGAUCAUCAUGCCGCGGUGAAUACGUUCCCGGGCCUU
rnacentral:rRNA from 1 species